rnacentral:rRNA from 1 species
AUGAAGCAGGCUGAUAUCGAGAAGGCCCAGGAGGCGGCGAGUCAACAGGCCGCCAAGGACGAGGCCGCUCGGCGUCAGCACCAGGCCGAGCUGAACUCCCAGGAGGAGGACCUUGCCGCUCACGAGGAGAAACUCGCCGCAACACUCUACGGCAAGGACGAGGAGGUCAAGGAGAUUUUCGUGCAACGGACACAAGAAAUGGAGCAGAGGCACGAGGAGGCCCUCAAUGCUCAGGCCCAUGUCCAUGCCGGCAAGGUGAAUGAGCUGGAGGUGGAGCGGGACGGGCUGAAGAAGCAGAUCCAGGAGCUGACGGGGGAGAGGAACGCGGCCAAGGGCGCCUUGGCUGACGCGCAGGUCAUAGUCCUUGACAAGGUCGAGCUACUCUCCACGGCCAACAAGUCCAUCAAGGACCUGAAGCUGAAGCUGGAGGAUCUUGAGGGGACGCUCUCGGAGGUUAGGGCCCAGGAGGAGACCCUGACCAAGAAUCUGGAGGCAGCUGGGGAAGAAUGA